UCCAUGCGAUUGGCUUGUUGACUCUGGCAAUUCGGAAGACAGUGUCGACGAAAAAUUGGCCGAAGGUUUCUUCGAAGGAAAAAUUAGCGGAAGUAAAAGGAGAG